rnacentral:rRNA from 1 species
AUUGAACGCUGGCGGCAGGCUUAACACAUGCAAGUCGGGCGGGGGAAGGUAGCUUGCUACCGGACCUAGCGGCGGACGGGUGAGUAAUGCUUAGGAAUCUGACUAUUAGUGGGGGACAACAUCUCGAAAGGGAUGAUAAUCCCGCAUACGUCCUACGGGAGAAAGCAGGGGAUCUUCGGACUUUGCGCCCAUAGAUGAGCCGAAGUCGGAUAAGCUAGUUGGUGGGGUAAAGGCCUACCAAGGCGACGAUCUGUAGCGGGUCUGAGAGGAGGAUCCGCCACACUGGGACUGAGACACGGCCCAAACUCCUACGGGAGGCAGCAGUGUGGAAUAUUGGACAAUGGGGGGAACCCUGAUCCAGCCAUGCCGCGUGUGAAGAAGGCCUUAUGGUUGUAAAGCACUUUAAGCGAGGAGGAGGCUACUUUAGUUAAUACCUAGAGAGAGUGGACGUUACUCGCAGAAUAAGCACCGGCUAACUCUGUGCCAGCAGCCGCGGUAA